rnacentral:rRNA from 1 species
UAGGGAAUAUUGGACAAUGGGCGAAAGCCUGAUCCAGCAACGCCGCGUGCGCGAUGACGGCCUUCGGGUUGUAAAGCGCUUUUAGAGGAGAUGAGAAAGGACAGUAUCCUCUGAAUAAGCCUCGGCGAACUACGUGCCAGCAGCCGCGGUAAAACGUAGGAGGCUAGCGUUAUCCGGAUUUAUUGGGCGUAAAGCGCGUGCAGGCGGUCUGGUAAGUUGGAUGUGAAAGCUCCUGGCUUAACUGGGAGAGGUCGUUCAAAACUGCUAGACUAGAGAAUGGGAGAGGGAGGUGGAAUUCCGGGUGUAGUGGUGAAAUGCGUAGAUAUCCGGAGGAACACCAGUGGCGAAAGCGGCCUCCUAGACCAUUUCUAACGCUAAGACGCGAAAGCUAGGGUAGCAAACG